CACGUAGGGGCCAAGCGUUGUCCGGAUUUAUUGGGCGUAAAGAGCUCGUAGGCGGUUCGGUAAGUCGGGUGUGAAACCUCCAGGCUCAACCUGGAGACGCCACCCGAUACUGCUGUGACUGGAGUCCGGUAGGGGAGCGUGGAAUUCCUGGUGUAGCGGUGAAAUGCGCAGAUAUCAGGAGGAACACCAGCGGCGAAGGCGGCGCUCUGGGCCGGUACUGACGCUGAGGAGCGAAAGCAUGGGGAGCGAACAGG
rnacentral:rRNA from 1 species